rnacentral:rRNA from 1 species
UACGGAGGGUGCAAGCGUUAUCCGGAUUUACUGGGUUUAAAGGGUGCGUAGGCGGAUUUGUAAGUCCGAGGUGAAAUCUCCGAGCUUAACUCGGAAACUGCCUUGGAUACUAUAAGUCUUGAAUGACGUUGAGGUUAGCGGAAUAUGUCAUGUAGCGGUGAAAUGCGUAGAUAUGACGUAGAACAUCUAUGGCGAAGGCAGCUAACUAAGAGAAUACUGACGCUGAUGCACGAAAGCGUGGGGAGCAAACAGG